rnacentral:rRNA from 1 species
UACAGAGGUCUCAAGCGUUGUUCGGAUUCAUUGGGCGUAAAGGGUGCGUAGGCGGCGCGGUAAGUCGGGUGUGAAAUCUCGGAGCUUAACUCCGAAACUGCAUUCGAUACUGCCGUGCUUGAGGACUGGAGAGGAGACUGGAAUUCCUGGUGUAGCGGUGGAAUGCGCAGAUAUCAGGAGGAACACCGGUGGCGAAGGCGGGGUCUCUGGGCAGUAACUGACGCUGGAGGAGCGAAAGCCGUGGGGAGCGAACAGG